rnacentral:misc_RNA from 1 species
GAUGAAGAACGCAGCGAAAUGCGAUAAGUAAUGUGAAUUGCAGAAUUCAGUGAAUCAUCGAAUCUUUGAACGCACAUUGCGCCCAUCAGUAUUCUGUUGGGCAUGCCUGUCCGAGCGUCAUUUCAACCCUCAGGGCCCGUUCGCGGGAACUGGUGUUGGGGAUCGGCCUCCCCCCGGAGGCCGGCCCCGAAAUGCAGUGGCGGCUCUACCGCGAUCUCCUCUGUGUAGUAGCGAUACCUCGCAGCUGGAUAGUGGUGGUGCCACGCCGUAAAAUCCCAACUUUACCAAGGUUGACCUCGGAUCAGGUAGGAAUACCCGCUGAACUUAAGCAUAUCAAUAAGCGGAGG